rnacentral:snRNA from 1 species
AUACUUACCUGGCAGGAGAGACACCAUGAUCACAAAAGUGGUUUUCCCGCGGCGAGGCUUGUCCAUUGCACUCUGGAUGUGCUGACCCCUGCGAUUUCCUGAAAUGUGGGAAACUACUGAAUAAUUUGUGGUAUUGGGGAACUGCGUUCACACUCUCUCCUA